AGGACGAACGCUGGCGGCGUGCUUAACACAUGCAAGUCGAGCGGAAAGGCCCUUCGGGGUACUCGAGCGGCGAACGGGUGAGUAACACGUGAGCAACCUGCCCUCAGCUCUGGGAUAGCUCCCGGAAACGGGAAUUAAUACCGGAUAUGACCCUGACCGACAUCUGUCAGGGUGGAAAGGUUUACCGGCUGAGGAUGGACUCGCGGCCUAUCAGCUAGUUGGUGGGUAACGCCUACCAAGGCGACGACGGGUA
rnacentral:rRNA from 1 species